rnacentral:tRNA from 1 species
GGUACCUUGGCCGAGGGGUUAGGUAGCGGUCUGCAAAACCGCCCACGGCGGUUCGAAUCCGCCAGGUACCUCCA